UACGGGGGGGCAAGCGUUGUUCGGAAUUACUGGGCGUAAAGGGCUCGUAGGCGGCCAACUAAGUCAGACGUGAAAUCCCGUCGGCUUAACCGGGGAACUGCGUCUGAUACUGGAUGGCUUGAAUCCGGGAGAGGGAUGCGGAAUUCCAGGUGUAGCGGUGAAAUGCGUAGAUAUCUGGAGGAACACCGGUGGCGAAGGCGGCUUCUGGACAGUGACUGACGCUGAGA
rnacentral:rRNA from 1 species